rnacentral:misc_RNA from 1 species
GAAACGCGAUAGUUAAUGUGAAUUGCAGAAUUCAGUGAAUCAUCGAGUCUUUGAACGCACAUUGCGCCCAUAGGUAUUCCUUUGGGCAUGUCUGUUUGAGCGUCAUUACAACCCUCAGCUAACCGCUGGUUUUGAACCUGAACGGGUGACACCGCGCCGGUUUUAAGGUUGUAAGCUCUGCUGGCAGCUCUGCCCAACCAGAACAUAGUAAGCACUACUUGUCCGGGUGAAGCUGAACGGUACGGCCUGAACAAAACCUACCCACUCUCAAGGUUUGACCUCAGAUCAGACAAGGAUACCCGCUGAACUUAAGC